rnacentral:rRNA from 1 species
GAUGAACGCUGGCGGCGUGCCUAAUACAUGCAAGUCGAGCGAACGGACGAGAAGCUUGCUUUUCUGAUGUUAGCGGCGGACGGGUGAGUAACACGUGGAUAACCUACCUAUAAGACUGGGAUAACUUCGGGAAACCGAAGCUAAUACCGGAUAAUAUUUUGAACCGCAUGGUUCAAAAGUGAAAGACGGUCUUGCUGUCACUUAUAGAUGGAUCCGCGCUGCAUUAGCUAGUUGGUAAGGUAACGGCUUACCAAGGCAACGAUGCAUAGCCGACCUGAGAGGGUGAUCGGCCACACUGGAACUGAGACACGGUCCAGACUCCUACGGGAGGCAGCAGUAGGGAAUCUUCCGCAAUGGGCGAAAGCCUGACGGAGCAACGCCGCGUGAGUGAUGAAGGUCUUCGGAUCGUAAAACUCUGUUAUUAGGGAAGAACAUAUGUGUAAGUAACUGUGCACAUCUUGACGGUACCUAAUCAGAAAGCCACGGCUAACUACGUG